UACGAAGGGGGCUAGCGUUGCUCGGAAUCACUGGGCGUAAAGGGUGCGUAGGCGGGGCUUUAAGUCAGGGGUGAAAUCCUGGAGCUCAACUCCAGAACUGCCUUUGAUACUGAAGAUCUUGAGUUCGGGAGAGGUGAGUGGAACUGCGAGUGUAGAGGUGAAAUUCGUAGAUAUUCGCAAGAACACCAGUGGCGAAGGCGGCUCACUGGCUCGUAACUGACGCUCAGGCGCGACAGCGUGGGGAUCAAACAGG
rnacentral:rRNA from 1 species